rnacentral:lncRNA from 1 species
AAACAGGCAUGCAUGUUAGUUUAUACAGAGGGUAGGAGGAGAAAAUUUAUGAAAGCUGUAAAGUCUUAAAAAUCGAACAAUUUUUUUUUAUGAGCCUCUUGGUUCACUAUGAUAUAUUUUCUUCCCAAAACAAUUCAAUGGAGAGCGCUUGUUCUUGCAUUGUAUGAACGCUUUUGUUCAGUAUGACCUUGACGCUUUUGUUGAUUGUGUUCUCCAAAAUUCAAAAAAUGCAAAAAUUUCCUAAAAAUAAAUUCACAUUUUUAUAUUUUUUUACCCUUUCGCCUUUUGUUUUCACAUUGAUUUUUUUUUUUAAAUCAAACAAUGAAAAAAUUAAAAAGAAAAUAAGAACGAGGAUAAAAAUUAAAAACAAAGAGGUAAUAAUUUAAACAUUGGAAACCUCCUCCACCACAACAUCUCCCACUACCGCCAUCUUCAGUGCCUCAUGACAACCAUCCAGUCAUCACCAACCAAGUUUCAAGCUCCUCCUCCCUAAUCGCAGCCAACAAACCCAGUAAUGCAACCCCUAUUCCCUCCAUUCACGGCAAUUUCACGACAACUUCAACACCAGAAGCCACCCACCAGCCACAAUGAUGGAAACCCUUAGCAACAAAAUCGCUUUAACAACCUAUCGAGGACCCAAACCACCACAAUAGCAGCCUUGAUUAUUAUUAUUAUUUUUUUAAAAAGAGAAAGUUGUUACAUUAGAGAGAGAAAGAAGAACGGAACUUUAGGUCGCCCGAUCUCCUUCUGUAAGCGGCAAUGAACAACACCGCCAACACAAAAACAAAGACGAAAAGGAGGCACACCUUAUAGGCGCUUCCUAGACCCGCGCAGCACAUGCAACGAUGAGCCACAACUUUUGUUCUGCACUAGCACGUGGCUUGCACGCGGCUCCAUUGCAUCUUUUUUAUCCAACCGCCUCAGCUCAACUCUAACCACCUAAUGAAUUUUUGAACAAUUUUUAAAACAUGAAAAUGAAAUGCUAACUUCUUUCUAAGUUGGAAUGGAAGAGAAGGAUAAGGCCCACUAGGCCUUCCAUUAAUAAAUUAAAGAAUUGGGCAUGAUAUUGGGCCAACCCUUAAUUAAGGAUUGAAUUCAGUUGGGCCAUGUUUCACAUGCCCAACAAGCCCGAAUUGUACCCCAUUCCAGUGAAGUCAAUUUUCCUUGUUGCUUUCCUGGUGCUUGAUUUUCUACCAGCAUUAAGUUUGUUUCCCUUUGCCACGUUACUUACAAAAGUCUUUCUAACCAAACAAGAAGGAAGAUCAUUUUCAUGGAGGUUAUUGAACCAAGAAGAGGUCAACUCCCAUUGAAGAACUCCGCUGACAAGAUGUGCAAGCUUUUGAGAGUAAUUAAGAGCAAUUGAAGACAGUUUCAGUUUCCUGGUUAAGAUUUACUGAACAAAAAUAAGCAUGGUUUAUGAAGUCAUGGAUAAGGUGUGAAAAAAUCCAUCUCAUUAACAUAUUUCUUCACAAAAAAAAGUUAUAUUAUUUUUCUCUACUUUAGGGCAUAGUUAUUAAACUCGGAUUGACCCGACGGGUUGACCUGGUGGAUGGACUGGUUCGAGUUUGUCAAAAGACCGACCAGUGAAACGUCCCGGCCAAACCAUAUCGACCUGCCAUGACCCUAUACCUCUUUAUAUAUAUAUAUAUAUAUAUAUAUAUAUAUUAGUUGGUUAUUAACAUUUUUUAAAGUUCAUUAUAUAAAUAUUAUAAAAAUAUUUUAUUUUUUCAAUGUGGAAUUUGAAACUCUUUAAUAUAUAUACUCUAUGUUUCCAAGAAAAAAGUUAUGUUUUUUCAAUGUAGGAUUUGAAACCCUUUAGUAUAUAUACUUUGUGUUCUCAAGAAAAAAAGUUAUUUUUUCAAUGUGGGAUUUGAAGCAUUUUUGUAUAUAUACACUAUGUUUACAAGAAAAAAGUUAUGUUUUUUCAAUGUGGGAUAAAAAACUUUUUGGUUUAAAUAUUUCAACUUAAACGGAUAACAUAAUAUCUUUUUAAUGUGGGAUUUGAAGCCUUUUAAUAUAUAUAUUCUAUGUUCACAAGAAAAAAGUUAUGUUUUUUCAAUAUGGGAUUCGAAACUCAUUAGUAUAUAUAUAUAUAUUCCUAUGUUCCCAAGAAAAAGUUAUUUUUUCAAUAUGAGAUUUGAAGUCAUUUUAUAUAUAUACUCUAUGUUUACAAGAAAAAAAUUAUGUUUUUUCAAUGUGAGAUAAAAAAUAUUUUAAUUUAAAUAUUUCAACUUAAAAGGAUAACAUAAUAUCUUUUAAAUAUGAGAUUUGAAGCCUUUUAGUAUAUAUAUUCUAUGUUCACAAAAAAACUUUUUUGGUUUAACUACUUCAGCUUAAAAGCAUGACAUAAUAUCUUUUUAAUAUGGAAUAAAAAACUUUUUAAAAUAUUUUUUUAAACUUCAUUAUUUACAACAUGUAUAGCCGAUAUCACAUAUAUAUAUUUUUAAUUUUUUCAUAAGAAAUAUUAAAAUUUUAAAUAAAUUUUUUUAAUUUUUUCAGGUUGAUCCAAACUGACCCAUAAAAUCCAGGAUCCGAACUGUUAACCAGAUCAACCCCAAACCAGGUUUGAUAACUUAAAGGCGUUCAGGGGUCAUUUUCCAUCUUCUUUUCCACGACUACUGAGAUGUAUACUUUUCGGAGUUUUCAGCGGAUAUUAUACGCAUCGAUCCGCCGACCAUACGAUCUGGCCCCCUAUUUGACUGAUGAUUUUAAUUUGCAGGCCCUACGAUCAUUGUCACCUUUUUCUCUACCUUGGAGGUGUUCUUGAUGCAUUUUUCUUCAUCUUAUUUCCACAACAACUACCGGAAUAUUCAACUGAUAACUUUAAUUGGCAGACACUACGAUCGGGUACCGUGUUGACUCUGAUGCUUUUCUUGUCACUAUUACAUAUUCAACGAAAUUGAGCGUUUCUCACCCAAAACCAAACAACAAUCAAGGCCAUUACUUUUCCAUUCCUGCAUUUGCUAUCCUAUUUCAAAUAAAAGACUAACAGAACUUGAUUUGUGAGAGCUUCAAUACCCUCAUUUUUAAGGCAACGAAAAGCACUUUCGCUUUGGCGGCCCAUCUGGUUUUCCUAUUAUACAACUACUUUAGAUUUUGCUGCUUGAUCUUCAGGGAAUUCGAGCUUCACAUUUUCCUUUAAGCCUCCAAAAUGUUGCCAAGUUCAGCUAGUAUUUCAUUCUUUCAGCUAUAAAGAAACCUUUACUCAUUAAUCCUCAACCUCUUUCACAUUUAUUGCAUACUUGAAUACAGUAUGGCCCGUUCUAUUUGGCUUUCGGUUUUCUAUACGGUUAUCUUGUACAUUCCUUUAAUCGCAGCCCAACAAUUUGAAUAUCGAUACCAUAUAUGUACGAAUGAUUCUACUUAUACAACGAAUAGUUCUUUCCCAUUAAACCUCAAUGCCUCUCUCUCUUCUCUCUACGAAAAUGCCUCUCGUAGCGAUGGUUUUAGCAGCAUCAGUGUCGGUCAGAAUUCUGAUAAAGUGUAUGCGCUCUUCCUGUGCAGAGGAGAUAACUCCCCUGAGUUAUGUCAGGGUUGCAUCAAGACCACCAGUGAAGAUAUCAUGAUUCGCUGCCCGAAUUACAAAGAAGCAAUUAUUUGGUAUGAUAGGUGCAUGUUACGUUACUCUAACCGUUCUAUAUUUUCUGUUACAGAGGAACGGCCGAAAGCAUGGCUGUGGAAUGUGAAUGAUAUUGGAGGUGUUAUGGAUCAAAAUCAAUUUAAUGCCAGUUUGGGAGGCUUGAUGAACCAGCUUAUUAAUCGCGCUGUGUCUUCUAGUAAUUUGUUUGCAAUGGGAGACACAAAUGGAACAGCAUUUAACAGAAUAUAUGGAACGGUACAAUGCACUCCAGAUAUAUCUCCAUCUCAAUGCAGAAUAUGCUUAUCUGGUUGCGUCAGCGAUAUUCCUAGGUGCUGUAAUGGAAAGCAAGGGGGUAAUGUUCUCACACCAAGUUGCAGUAUGAGGUUUGAAAUUUACCCUUUCUACACUGCUCCGCUAGCCCCACCCCCUCCUGCAAGUUCCCCAUCUCCGCCAACACCACCAGCAACCUCUUUAAAUCCCAGUGGUAUGCAUUUUAUUCAUUACCGCUUUUAAGACAUGAUUUCUACCAUAUUACUAAAAAACUGUUCAUUUUUAUGCAGGAGAAAGGAAGGCUUCAUCACGGACAAUUGUAUACAUUUCAGUUCCCUCUGGUGCCUUUGUGGUGCUAUUGUUCUCCUUAUGCUACUGUUAUGUGCACCAGAAAGCAAGGAAGGAAUACAACGCUAUUCAAGAGGGAAAUGGUAUAGAAAACAUAUAGAGAAAUCUACCCAAUAUUUUAUUUUGCUAUAUCGGCUGGCUUUGAACUAUUCUUUUUUUCCAUUUCCUGUAGUUGGGGAUGAAAUCACUUCGGUCCAAUCAUUACAAUUUCAAUUGGGAACCAUUGAAGCUGCUACAAACAAUUUUGCUGAAGAGAACAAGAUUGGUAAGGGUGGAUUUGGCGAUGUCUACAGGGUAAGAAGUUAAACUGACAUACUUUUCCUGAGUUAUUCAGUCGUUAAAAUCUAAAUUCCAUCUAAAUAAUGAUCCCGUUAUAUUCAGGGAACACUUCCUAAUGGACAGCACAUAGCUGUGAAGAGGCUAUCAAAACAUUCUGGACAAGGUGCAGCAGAAUUUAAGAAUGAGGUUGUAUUGGUAGCCAAGCUUCAACACAGGAAUCUAGUGAGGGUGCAAGGAUUUUGCGUGGAAGGAGAAGAAAAGAUUCUUGUCUAUGAAUUUGUUCCAAACAAGAGCCUCGACUACUUCCUCUUUGGUUUGGCUUCUCUUAACAUAUAUUUUGCGUGUGAUGCAUCCUGAUUAUUUAUUUUUCUUAGCUCCCUCCGAUUAUUUAAUUUUUUAUAUAAAUUCAUGAAGAUCCUGCAAAACAAGGACUGUUGAAUUGGUCAAGUCGUUACAAAAUCAUAGGGGGGAUUGCUCGAGGUCUUCUUUAUCUUCAUGAAGAUUCCCGUCUCCGAAUCAUCCACCGUGAUCUUAAAGCAAGCAAUGUUUUGUUGGAUGGGGAAAUGAACCCCAAGAUUGCAGAUUUUGGUAUGGCCAAGAUUUUUGGAGGGGAUCAAAGUCAAGGAAAUACCAGCAAAAUCGCUGGAACAUUGUAAGUACUUUUAAAGCCUAAAUGCAAUAUUUUGUUCAUCUACACUGCCAUAUAUUAAAUCCUUAUCUUAGAGUAUAUAUUGAAGGCAUUGAUUGUUGAUGUUAUGUUUCUGUAUCCUAUGCUGAUUGGUGGACACCCAGUGGUUACAUGCCUCCAGAGUACGCAAUGCACGGACAGUUCUCCGUUAAGUCGGACGUGUAUAGUUUCGGUGUCUUAAUACUCGAGAUUAUUAGUGGCAAAAAGAACAGCAGUUUCUAUCAAUCAGACAAUGGCCUCGACCUUGUGAGCUAUGUAAGAGAAACUUCAUUGCACAAAUUUUAUUUUAUUUAUGCUAAAACCAACGAGUAUUUUGAAAGGGGAGAAAAAGAAGAAUUUUCCAUACAUAGCUACUGAUUGUUGCAGGCAUGGAAACAAUGGAAAAAUGGGGCAGCACUGGAACUAAUGGAUGCAAGCUUAGGAGAUUCUUACUCCAGAAAUGAGAUCACUAGAUGCCUCCAUAUUGCCUUAUUGUGUGUUCAAGAAGAUCCAAACGAUAGACCCACGUUGUCAACAAUAGUUCUCAUGCUCACUAGUUUCUCUGUAACGCUACCAUUGCCUCGAGAGCCGGCCUACCUUGGGCAAAGCAGGACCGUCCCGACCUUUCCAACAACAGAGCUGGAGUCUGACCGAUCUACUUCCAAGUCGAAGCCUUUGUCCGUGAAUGAUAUGUCUAUCACAGAACUAUAUCCUCGUUAAUGCAAAGAAAAUAAUCUUCAAAACACGCAUGCAUGUUUUAGUGUAUACAGAGAAUUGGAGAAGAAAAUUUAUGAAUGCUGUAAGGUCUUAAAAAUCAAACAAUUAUUUUUUUAUGUUCCUCCAGGUGCAUUAUGAUAUAUUCUCUUGCCAAAAUAAUUCAAUGAAGAAACAAAAAAAAAAUCCAAGAAAAAAAAAAAAAAAAAACCUUUUAAACUUAUAAAGUCCAACUUAUAAAAUACUAAUAUAAGGAAGAAUCAAGUGAAUGAAGGAGGAAUUGAAAGAGGGAAAAAUUUAAUUUUUUUUUUCAGUUGACAUGAGGUUGUUAUUUUAUCCCAGUUGAGAGGUUGUUACAAUAUCGAUUCAGAUUCGAUUAUAAAUUAAUUAUAUUCUAUAAAACAUCGAAGGAUAUAUCUUUAAUAGUAAGUUUAUUUUUAUUUUUACUUUAAUUUUAUAUACUUUGAAAUUUAUUUUUUAAUAUUUUAAAUAGUGUAUUUGAAUUAAAACUUUACUGUUAACUUUAAAAAUUCAUGUAUAUAAAUUAAUAAUUUAUUUUAAAAAAUUUAUAUAUUUAUUUAAUAUCCUAGGACAGAAAAAAUUCCUAUCUUGGUCCUUGAUUUAGGCAAUAGCGUGAGCAUGCAUGACUAAAGCAUUAAAAGAGGUCUGAACCAUGCACCAGGCUUUUUUUUUUUUCUUAUAUGAAAAGGCAAAUAAUAUAUAAUCCACUCUUUAGAAAAAAAAAAAAACAAUAGAAUCAUCAUAGGUGUUAUUUACUGGCUUAGUUUUCAACAAUAAAAGAAUAGCUAGAAAGUCAAGUCAUGGGUAUUUUAUUUCUAAAAAUUUAAUCUUCAACAAACAUUUUAUUCAAAAUAUCUAAAAAACAUUAUAAGAAUUUUGAAACUCAUUUAUGGUCUUAAAUGACCCUAAAAAUAGUUCAAAAACCCCAAAUUAACCUGAAUUUAAAAACUUAUUGAGCUUGGAUCUACUAUCUUUAAUGAUGAGAAUGCCAAAGAAUAUCCUAGUUGAACUCAUCUUAUCGAAUCAAACCCAUUGACGCUAAGAUCAAACUUUUCAUGGUUGGAAUUAGUAUUAAUUGAUACUUUCUCUCUUUUAAACAUGAAUUCGAUGACUCACUCUUUUCUCUUGAAUAAAGGACUAAAAAUAAAAAUAAAAUAAAGUUUUGGACUAAAAUUGAAUAUUGAAAAAAAUAAAUAGACUAAAAAUCUUUAACUUAGAUUUUGAAAGUAAACUUUUCUCAUCAAUUUUGAAAUUGUCAUCCUUUUUUUUUUCACUUUACUCCUAUUUCUUUUAAUUUUUUUCCUUUCUUAAUAAAUGUACUUAAUUUGGUCAUCAAUUUAGUUCUAACAAUUCAAAUCAAUAAAAAAUUAUUAAUUAUUUCUUAAAAUGUAAUUUUCUUUUAUCCAUAUCUUGAUAUUAAAAUAAUUGUUAUUUUCUAACUAAACUAACAAUUCUGAAUUUGAAGUCAAUAAUAAUUUACCUUCUUCUUUAAUUUUUUUUUGUAAUUGUAAUUUACUACAGGGUUUUGUUACUCCAAGUCUUCAAUAUCCAAGUUCUGAAUUUCCAAUAAAUGUAGUAUUGUAGGUCAUCGUUAAGGUCCAACUUUUAUGAGAAAGUAGACAAAUAAUUUUUUCUUUCUUGGCAAAUAUUCAACUAGACAAGUCUUCAAACCACACAAGAAGUUCGAUGCGACAGAGUCAUUUGCUUUAUUUUGUUUUGUCGUGGCCAAUGCGUUUAAAUUUUCCACAAGGUUUUGCAGAAUUUUUGGAAAAUCUGAUUUUCCUGGAAAGUAGGGGAACAAUAAUUUUUUCCAAGGAAAUUCGGCACUCGAGAUUGGUCCGAGGAAAGCAGUCAAGAAGAGGAAAAACAUGAAAGUCACCACUUCACAUUGUGAUUGUGAUCGUUUCUCACUCACCACCACUAUUGUGCCAUGAAACUAUAAGCCAGCCCACUUGUGCAAGGUAUGUGGUUUUUGAAAUUAGAAGGAUUGAGGUAUUAUAUCACUGAAAUACAGGGACUAAAUUAUUAUUUACGUGUUUAUGAACCAGAUCGAAAAGAAUUAUCACAACUCAAGCAAUCAACCCAUCAUAAGGAUUAAAAUAUGAAAAGUAGUUUAUAAAGCAUAUUCAACCAUAAGAACAAACACCCCCAAAUUAAUUUACACGUGAAGAAAGAAAUUUUUAGAAAAUCUCAAUUCAAUUCCUAUUUGAAAGAAAAUAAGAGAAGUGGAGCGAAGGAGAGUAAUUGUUGUGUUUGAAUGGUAAGAGUGUAGGUUACUGUGAUGGAGAAGAAUAAUAUAAGAGCUAGAACGUCUCUUCUCUAAAGAACUUUGAAUGAAUGGAGAAUCUUACAACAUGGAGAAUGAAUGGUCGGAUGAAAGCAGCAUGUGGCCAAAAAAAAAAAAAAUUCCAGAAAGAUUAAUAGAAAUUAAUAACUAAAUUGAAAAUGCUAGAGAUACUUGUAACAAUUUUCACUACGAUUAGUGUUUUAUUAAUCAUUCAAUUUUAUAAUUAUAAUAAUCACAAUAUAUAUAUAAUAAAUUUUAAAAUCUUUCAUUUUAUUUAUUAAUAAAUAAAACUUAUUAAAAAAAUUAGUGCACCCUACUAUAUAUUACCCAGAAAUAUAUAUUCAAGUCAAAAUUUCUUCAAAGAAGAUUUUCAAUUCAAACAUUUAAUGCCAAAUUACACCGUCAAGAAAGCUUUGUUUUCUGAUCUAAUUAAACACAUUUAACGCUCCAAGUGCUCCAAGUAUUUGAUGGGAACACAAAUUAUAAUCGCUGUUGAUGAUUAUGUGCUGGAUCGUUUAGGGUCACUUAGUAAAGGUGCCAUGCAAAAGUAAAAGCCAAAUUUAUGACUUUGCCAAGAUGCAAGGUCCUUAACUUAGGGUGCCUCAAUAAAAUUUGAAAUGGUUUCGGAAAUUUCAGAGCUUUCUACAAUUUCUUUCACUUUUGGUGACAAAUUCGGUUUGCCCAUUAACCACAUAGUGUUCGAACUUCAGAUUCGUUUUCAAUUGGCCCCAUAACGUUUUGGAAAAGGAAUUUCUUUUCAUUGUUGAUAGCAGCCUUCAAUCGACUCAAUGCUGAAAUGUCAAGCAAUGAAUGCAAAAUUAAGUGCUUAAUUGACAAACAUGCAAGGAUGUUUCAACAAAUUUCUUUUUAUUAUAUUAAAAAAUAAUAUAAAUUAUAUUUUAAAAUUUCACUUAAUAAUUUAAAUAUUUUAAUUAAAUGAUUGCCUUACAAACGGGAAUCCAAAGCAAAGGAGACAAAAACUCUUUAAGAUAAAAUCUAAGUCAUUUAAUUUCACGCGAAUAGCCAAUGACGAAGACAUCCACCGUUUUUCCAAAUCAACAAAGACAAUUUAUUACAUGAAAAUAUCAUGUGUUUUUCACAUAUCUUGUUUGAAGUGGCUAAGGAUGCUGUGUAUCUUGAUAUAAUAGCAGCCAUGGUGUAAUUAAAUGUACUAUAUCUUUUGUAUAUAUUUUUUUAAGAAAAUUGCCAACGAAGACUACAUUCAGCGUAUAUAGCAGUGAAAGGAACAAUUUUUUUUAUAUACCUUCUAUUUUAAAAAUAUAUAAAUUCAUUCGUAAAUUAUUUUAAUGAUAGAUUUAUUUUUAUGUUUGCUAGAUUUAAGGAUAAAAUUAACAAAGGGUAAAUUCUUGUAUAAUUUUAGUAGAUAAUUCAACUAAAAUAUUUUAUGUUUGAUAUAUUCUUUCCACCACGAGUACUCUAAUUUCACAUUAUAGACGGGGGCAGCGUGUAGGUGGUCGUGAGGGGCCACAGCCUUCCAAAUUUUGCGGCCUUACAUUACAAUCCUUACACUUUAGUUUAUUUUAAUAAGGUCUUAUGUUAGCCCCCAAGAAGUUCUGCGUAUUACAUUGAAGUCCCCAUCGUUAUUCCAAAAAAAAAACAUUGAAGUCCCCAUCUUGUUCUGAACUUGCCCCUAAAAAUUACAAAGUAAUUUACCUAUCCGCAGCUACUCAUCAUACAUGUUAUUUGAUGUUAGAAGAAAAUUCUUGGACACCACAUAUCAUGAUUGGAUUGCUUGGUUCUUAAAAAUAGGUAUAGUCAUAUGUUGAUUUCUUCGAUUAUAUAUAUAUGUUGAGUGAAAAUUAACUUGUUGGAUAUAAAAUUGGAAAUUUUUACUAACGAGUCUUAUAACUAUUCUUGUAUUUAUUAUACAUUUUAACGAAUUAAUUCAUUCAAUUUAAGUUAAUUUGAACCGAAUUAUUCCACAACAUGUAGAUUGUUAACACAUUGUAUGGACAGCGCAGGGGCAAGCGCAUAGACUUGGUGUAUUUUUUGUAUUGUGAUGUAAGGUAUUUUUUAAAAGAAUAUUUUGGUAGAAAAUAUAUUAAAAUUAUUAUUUUUUAUAAUUUUUAUUUUAACAUCAACACAUUAAAAUCAUAAAAAAACAAAAAAAAAAUCAACUUUGGACUGAAGUGGAGGAUAGAUAAAUUUACAGGACGUUGGACAUUUCCCUUUAUAUUUAUUAUGUGAUUUCUUCCACAAAGACGAUUGAACUUGAAAGAAUCAGCCAUCUAAUCCAAGAAAACAUAGCAGAUUAGGAUACAAAUCCUUUCACGUUAACCAAGUUCAAUCUAUUCCACGCGUGCAUGACGAAGACAACGACCAAAGCUGCUUUUCCUCAUGGAAUACUGAGUUGGUUGAAUACUUGCAAGAAAAUGUUGUUUAUAUGCCACGUAUACCAAGUCAAAGAAGACGAUCAAUGUUCAUACCAUAAAUUUGUUUAUUUAAUUCGGAGCAUCGUAGACAAGUUUGCAAAGGAAGAGUGAGAGUAUCAUUAAGCUUAUGGCUUUUUUGCAAAUGCUUUUCCUUCUUUGUCCCAUUUUCAUGAACUUUAUUGUUCCCAAUACUGCUCAGCCUGAAAUCAACUUUCACCUUUGUGUAGUAGAGAACGGUAACUACACAGCAAAUAGCACCUACCAGGCUAAUCUCAAGUACCUACUCAACUCUGUUUACAGUAACACAGAAAUCGAUUACGGGUUUUACAAUUUCUCUUACGGAGAAAGUCCUGACAAGGUUUAUGCAAUUGGACUCUGUCGAGGAGAUGUCAAGCCUGAUGCUUGCCGCGACUGCCUCAAUUCAAUUAUUCUAGCCUGGCACUAACUUCACUCUGUCAAACCCAAAAGGAGGCUAUCAUAGGUUUGGACAAUUGUAUAUUACGAUACGCAAGCCGUAACAUAUCUGGCCGCAAUGAAGUUGCCCCAUACUUUUUCGUGUACAGCUUAACAAAUGUCUCGGACGAAAAAGGAUUCAACAGGUCUUUGAAUAGCUUGUUGGAUAGCCUACAAGAUAAAGCUGCAGCUGGUGAUUCUCGUCGUAAGUAUGCAACGGGAAAAAUCAGUACUAAUGCACCAAACUUUCAGACUAUAUAUGCACUUUCGCAGUGCACUCCUGAUUUGUCACAGGCAGAAUGCAGUUCCUGCCUCCGAAAUGCUUCCGCACGUGUUGGACAAUGUUGCCAGGAAAGGCAAGGAGGAAGAGUCAUUUAUCCAAGCUGUAAUUUUAGGUACGAGAUUAACCAAUUCUAUGAAGUCCCAAUUGGUGAAGACCCAUCUCCUCCUCCAUCGAAAGGUAUAUAUCCUGAAAAGUUUAGCAUCAUUGUCUGCCUUAAUUUUUUAAAUGCUGUGAAAAUGUCUAGCUUGUACUGUUUCCAGUUAUUAGACUAAUUCCUGUGAAAUGACAUUAGACAUGUGUUAUAACUGGAUAAUUUCAUGGAUUUUGCAGGAAAAAACAAUACAGUCAUCAUCGUCAUCAUUCUUUCAGUUGUUAUUUCUGUCAUGGUGAUUCUUAUCAUCAGCUUCUACACGUUUUCAGGAAAGAGGAAAUCAAGAGAGAAAGUUAAAAGUAAGACAUAUUUUUUCUUUUUUGUUCAUCUGGAAGCCCAUUAGGUCUUGGACUAUAUAUUGAAUAUUUUAUUUGGCAUUUCAGAACAACUUUUUCCCUGGGCGGUUAAAGAUUGAUUUCUGAAUAUUCAAUUCCUUUGUUCAAUUCAGCAACUGCUUAAGUUUACGCCACAUAAGAAUCUGGUUCAAUUCAGUAGUUUUUUUUUUUCUCUCUCCUACUUGCUGCUUCAGGUGGAUCAGUGGAUGAUGAAAUUACCAGAGUGGAAUCCUUGCAAUAUAACUUAGAAAUCAUUCACCUUGCAACAGAAAAUUUUUCUGAAGUUAAUAAGCUUGGACAGGGUGGAUUUGGUUCUGUGUACAAGGUACGAAAUAUCAAAAUGUUAUAUAUCAAUUAGCAUCCAUCAAAAAUGAGUUGACUGUGUUAAUAUAUAUAUAUAUAUAUAUAUAUAUAUAUAUAUAUAUAUAUAUGCUAGAGAUAUUGAUGUUUUUACUAUAUUUAUUUUGCUAACUAAUGAGAAUCGAAUUCUUCGAAGGUUAGUUUCAAGCAUUCCUACAUGGUUGUGGUCAUAACUCCUAACACCCUUGUUGCUUUCAGGGUACCCUUCCCAACGGACAAUAUAUAGCCGUGAAGAGACUAUCUAGGGAUUCCACGCAAGGAGAACAAGAAUUCAAGAAUGAAGUCCUGCUGGUGGCCAAACUUCAGCACAAGAAUUUGGUUAGGCUCCUAGGCUUUUGCUUUGAGCAAGAGGAAAGGCUUCUUAUCUACGAGUUUAUGCCUAACUCAAGCCUCAACAACUUCAUUUUCGGUACGGCCAUGCCUCCUCUUCCAAAACAUUUCGAUGGAGAUUACUGUCUAAAAAUAGAAAAAAGAGAAAGAACUAAUUCCUGCAAACAAAGCACAAACCAGCAGUUCCUUUAUUAAAGCAUAGUACUUUUUGAUUCAUCUAACUGCCAUAGUUUACUGAAUUUUUAGAUCAAACCAAGCGUUCACAAUUGGACUGGGAACGACGUUACAAGAUCAUAGAAGGCAUUUCUCGAGGACUUCUUUACCUUCAUGAAGAUUCUCGUCUCCGGAUCAUUCACCGUGACCUGAAACCUAGUAACAUUUUGUUAGAUGCAGAAAUGAAUGCUAAGAUAUCAGACUUUGGCAUGGCAAGGCUGUUUGCAGGGGAUCAAACCCAAGAAAGUACAAGCAGAGUUGUUGGAACCUUGUAAGUGUAUAUCAGAAAUCAGGGAAUACCAAAGUUCCUUUGGUUAAUUUUCUUUCUAUUUGACUUGAACUAAAAGAAUGCAAUAACAAAUUAUUAUUUGCAGUGGAUACAUGCCUCCAGAGUAUGUAAUGCGCGGACACUUCUCUGUCAAAUCGGAUAUCUUUAGCUUUGGUGUGCUUGUUUUGGAAAUUGUAAGUGGUAGAAAAAGAACUUGUAUCAAUGAGGAGGAGGUGGAAGACCUUCUGACAUAUGUGAGUAUGAUACUGUCUGACUUGCAUUUUUCUUGAUCCAGAUUGCCAGGAAAGACAUCGAGCAAAGCACUUUCCUUCUAACACUCUGCUGUUCUUUUCUUAAAAUUUUGCAGACGUGGGAAAAUUGGAAUAGCGGACCAAAUUUAGAUAAGCUGAUAGAUCCGACAUUAAGGGCUGCCUCAAGAAAUGAAAUGUUGAGAUGUAUCCACGUUGGUUUACUAUGUGUGCAGGAAAAUGCACUUGAUAGACCAAACAUGGCUUCAGUUGUUAUCAUGCUAAGUUCUUACUCCGUCACUCUUCCAGUACCUCAGAAGCCUGCAUUUUUUGCUCGUAAUACGGUACUGCCUGGGACAACAUCAACUUGGACCGAGUCUGAUCAAUCCCGAAGUGCAUCUGUCCCAUGUUCAAUCAAUGAGGCUUCAAUCUCUGAGCUCUACCCUCGGUAGAGUUUGGCGGAUGGAGGUCCACCGUUAAGCAUGCUAUAGUUUGUUCUGUAUCUCAGCACUAUUCUCUUGCAUUGCAAUGCUUGAAGUGUUUGCCUUUUCCUUUAAUUUUUUUUUGUUGGAUUGCUGAAAUAAAAGCAUUUUAUAAUAUUAUAAUAAAGUGUUGGGAAGUGAGGUAAAUUGUUGUUUUCAAAAUAUUUUUUAAUUAAAAAUAUAUUAAAAUAAUAUUUUUUAUUAGUUUUUAAAAUUUAUUUUUGAAAUAACAUACUAAAACAAUCCAAAAAUAUAUAUAAAAAAUACUCUUAACAAAAAAAAAAAAAUUGACCAACCUUUAUUUGUGCCUUACUUCCAAACAUGGUUUAAUCUUUUUUUAACAAUUUUGUACUCAUUAUUAGUUAGAUAAAUUUAGAAUCCAAAUAAGAUUUGAGGAUUUUAUUUAUUUUUCUAAUUUUGAUUGAAACUAUCAAGUUAUAUCAUAGAAUCAUGAUAAGACAAUUCUUAUAAAAAAUAAUCUUAAACUAAGACUUGGUAAUGAGUUAAGGAAGAAGAAUUUCAAAUUAACGUAGAUUAAGUUUAAUAAAAACACUAAAUAAUAUAAAUAUUUUUUAUAUUAAAAAAAAUCUAAUUUAACUUGUAUCAUAGCACGGAAAAGAAAACUAAUUAGAAUCCAAAUAAGAUUAUGGGCUUUCUUCACGGAGCUUCGGGCAUAGAAGUUCGGAGUUCAACUUUUGGGGUAUGGGGCUAGUGCUAGCUGGACCAGACGAACUCUUUAGGAGGGCCAUUUUUACUGAGAUGAGACAAGGAAUACCCCAUGAACUCGCCAAGUGAUAAUCCUUAACCCAAAGCCUGUAUAAUGACUGUGGGUUUCUCUAGGACUAGAUAUCAUGCCCACAAAACCAAGCCUGCAUGCAGAUUCUUGGACUGGCAGUUGGAAUCGAGGAACAACAUUAAAAAUGAUGGAUCUUUUCAUCGCAAGGGCUGUUCCAAGGAGAGAUAAUAUUGAUAAGAUUUGAGCCCCAGGACAGCCGUUUUGGCAGGGUUCUUUUUUAUCUUCCCAACUUGGAUUCAAGUUUUAGUGUGCAUGUUUAUCACUUCCACGAUAUUUUACUUGUUUGCUAGAUUUGUAAAAUGUUCAGUGAGUAAGAGAAUUAAUCAUGGUACGUGUAAAUUGAUCUAAAUAUUCGGGUUAUAAAAAACAAAUAACCCGAAGCAGGACCGGCAUAUUGUGUGCAAAGCAGGACCGGCUCGAGCUUACCAAUAAUAGGGCUGGAGUCUGACCGAUCUUCUUCCACGUCGAAGCCUUUGUCCGUUAAUGAUAUGUCAAUCACAGAACUAUAUCCUCGUUAAUGCAAAGAAAUGAAUCUUCAAAACAGGCAUGCAUGUUAGUUUAUACAGAGGGUAGGAGGAGAAAAUUUAUGAAAGCUGUAAAGUCUUAAAAAUCGAACAAUUUUUUUUUAUGAGCCUCUUGGUUCACUAUGAUAUAUUUUCUUCCCAAAACAAUUCAAUGGAGAGCGCUUGUUCUUGCAUUGUAUGAACGCUUUUGUUCGCUAUGACUUUGACGCUUUUGUUGAUUGUGUUCUCCAAAAUUUAAAAAAUGCAAAAAUUUCCGAAAAAUAAAUUCACAUUUUUAUAAUUUUUUACCCUUUCGCCUUUUGUUUUCACAUUGAUUUUUUUUUUAAAUCAAACAAUGAAAAAAUUAAAAAUAAAUAAAAACAAGGAUAAAAAUUAAAAAACAAGAGGUAAUACUUUAAACAUUGGAAACAACAAGAAUUCACAGUUUUACCGACGGAAAUAUUACGUCGGUGUGUGAUUAAUAGUACGUCGGUAAAUUUUUUACCGACUACAUUACCGGCGAAAUACGUCCGUCAGCUUACCUUUCGUCGUUGAUUCCACAUUCCGUCGCUAUGUCGGUUAGAAAAACAAAAAAAUCAUUUACCGACAGAAUAUGCGUGCCAAAAAAAAGUUUCCCGCUUCAAACAUACCGACGGAUUGUUAUUCCGUCCGUGACAUCACAAGUCACCGACGGUUUAUUUCCGUCGGUAACUUAGUCGGUGAAUUAUUGAAAUACCGACAGAACAUACCGUCUGUCAAUUCGUCGGUAAGUUAUAAUACCGAUGGACUUAUUCCGUCGGUAAAUCUGUUGGUGAAUCAUGAAAACACCGACCGAAUUUAUCCGUCUGGAAAUUUGUCGGUCAUGGCCGCGGCUACUGUCUAAUACCGACGGACGUAAUCCGUCGGUAAAUCCCUUUGUAAUUAUUUUUUUAUUUUUUAUAAUAUUAUAGAAUACAUAAUAAAAUGAUAUAAAUUAAUGGUAAUAAAAACCAAUUAUGCAAAUAAAUUUAUAUUAAGCAUCAAAAAAAAAAAUGAAAGAUAAAUAAUAUUCAUUACAAAAUGAAAUGUUUCAAAAAAACAUUAAAUGAAAUUUUAAAUGUAAAUAAUGUUUAUUAAAAAUUAAUAAAGGAGGAUGAGGAGGAUCAGGAGGAGGAGGAGGCUGGCUAUUAUGCGGCCAAAAAGGAUUGGGUGCACAUGUUCCACCUUGUGCCAUGUUCAUGACCAUUUGACGAAGCUCUUCAUAGGCCGCUCUUUGUUGUUCAGAAUCUGCUCUGUAUUGUUCUUUGAGUUGUGUGUACGCCUCUGAUAGGUGGUCGCACUUUUGCUGCAAGGCCACGAACUCCUUAGAUUGGGAGCUCGAUACUGAUUGGGAGCUCCCGACGGUUGAAGCAGUACGGGUCGUCGCAAGUUGUCGGCCGUAGUGGAGAGCCCGUAAACCCGAUUCUUAUCGGGUCCACCUGACGAUCCAGCCUCCAUCCACAAAUCAGGAUCGAAUUCCGGAUGGGUUGAAGGAUCGUCCCCGUAUAUCUCCCUCAACCGAUUAUUAUAGGUCUCCUGAAAAUAAUAAAAAUAUAAUCAUCAUAUUCAAUUCAAUAAACAUAGCGAUAACUUACAAAAUAAAAUGAUUGAACAAACAUACCAUAAAAUAUUGAGCACGGCUGUCAACGAACUGUUACACCCCCUUUUGGCGGUUUUGACUCCUCACGUGCGUCUCCACAAACAGCUCCAUAGGGCUCGGCUCAUGUCCAAGCGAUGUAGCCUAUAAUGAAAAAAAUUCAUUAACAACAAAUUAAUUGAACAAUAUAUAUUUCAUUUAAAUUAAUCUUACCAUCCGUUUCGCAUGUGCAGCAAACGAAACGGAGCCGCCGGUGUGCGUUGUCACCGAGCCAUGAAUUGGUCGAUUCCGGUUGCCAGCACCAGACUGUGAGCGUCGUGUGAAUCGCUCAGACGUCACGUGCUAAAGAUAGUGUGGCCAUAUAUCUUCGGGGAUGUAUAUCGAUUUGAAAUCCCUCUAAACCGCAACAUUGUUCCAGCCUUGGAACCCCCUAUCCCUCGCAGUUUUUUUUGCCUUUUUUUGGGCUUCGUACCAAAAAUCACGCAACCUACUUCACGCAAGAAAAAAAUACAUUUCGAAAAAUAAAUUUUUUUGUAAAAAAAAAGUUGUAUUGUUUUCGAUGUUACCUAGUUGCCGCGUGAUUUUCCCAGACCCUCCUCACAACAGUAUUAUGUUCCUCGUUCCAGCAGAAUCGAUUCUGUGUAUAAAAAAUAAUUUUUUAAAAUGUUAAUAAUUUAUUUAUAGUUAUAUUAAGAAUUUAUUAGAAAUAAACUGAAAAUUAUAUAUUAACACGAACCUGAAAUCUGGAAAACCAUGCAUUGAUUUGAGGCAUCCAUUCAGGAUGCCUGGAUAUCUGACUCCAUUGAAACAAUGGAAUCUCCAUCGAAGAUUUAAACGCUGAUGAUAUUACUCGGGCGGCCUCAACGUUUGUGAACCUGAAAAGAAAUGAAAUUAAUUAAAUAGUGACUUCAUAAAUUAUGUUUUAAAUUUGUUUGUUUUUUUAAAAAACUAAAACCUUAACAAACUUACAUUGAAAGAUCGUCCUUCCAUUGUGCCUCGUACUUGCGGGACCAUCGAUUCCGCUGUGAAGGCACGCCGCUUCUGCGAUGUGAAACAGAGCUGGAAGAGGCAACAUUAGCUGACGGCGCAAGUGGUAUAGGUGCCUCAUCUUAAGAGUCACCUAAGGAAAUAUCUUCCUCGCUGCUAGACGAACCUGAUGCGUUCGGACGUGAAGCUCUGGUUUUCAUUCUGUGCAUCUAACCAGUUUUAUAUAAAUAAUUAUAUACUUAAAUUCAAACGUAAAGAAAAAUUCGGCAGCACCUCCCCUAUACUGGAUACUACCCAAAUUCACAAACCUGCAAAAUUUAACAAUAGCCACAACCAAUUGACCCAAUCUAUACUAAUUAUUCCAACAUAUUCAAUUACUAAUCCUAAGGUAAAUUUAACAUUAACAAUAACAAUUCAACAAAUUAUUCAAUAAUUAUGCCAAUACAACAAUAAAAUAUAUUCAAUAAAUUAAAAAAGAAUUAUAAACUAACAAUUAAAAUCAAUGGAAACAAUUAAACACAAAUUAUGCAAUAAUAGAGUAAAAUUACUAAGUAUUCCAACAUAUCCAAAUACUAAUUCUAAGGUAAAUUCAACAUUAACAAUUAUAAUUCAACAAAUUAUUCAAUAAUUAUGGCAAUACAACAAUAAAAUAUAUUCAAUAAAUUAAAAAACAUUAUAAACUAACAAUUAAAAACAAUGAAAAUAAUUAAACACAAAUCAUGCAAUAAUAUAGUAAAAUUACUAAUUAUUCCAACAUAUGCAAUUACUAAUUCUAAGGUAAAUUCAACAUUAACAACAAAUAUUCAACAAAUUAACUAAUAACAAUUAUGCCAAAACAACAAUAAAAAAUAUUCAAUAAAUUUUUUUAAAAAAACUAUAGACUUUAGGGAAGAAAUAUGCAUACCUUAAUAAUGUGUUCAAACAAAACAUUUAUCUACAUUACAAAAAAAUACACCAAAACAAAAAACAUAAAAAGCAUAAAAAUAACUAUAAAUAAAAUAAAAUAGAAAAAAACACAUACCUUUUAAUGUGAUGAAGAUUCACAACCAACUUUGCUAGAGAUUCAACAAAGCUUGAAAGCUUGAAGAUUUGAAAGAAAAAAUCAAAAUUUUCCUUAGAAAUGGAGGAGAAGAAAAAAUGAACUGAAAGGGCGGCUGGAUGAACUUAUAAUGCGGAUUCACCGACGGAAAUAAAAAAUUAUUAUUAUUUAAAUUAAAUCCGUCGGUAAUUUUUGAAUUUCGCAUCGAAUUUUUUUAAUUACCCUCCAUAUUUUCGCGGUCCGUCCGUGAUUCCGUCGGUAAUCUGACACGGUCUGCGCUGCCAUCAAUUCACACCCUUUGGAAUUCGCACAUUCUGUCGGUAUUUUUGUAGGUAAAAUUGCCCACCGACAACUAACCGACGGACUUAUUUCGUCGGUGUAGACGUCGAAAAAGUCGUCGGUAUAGCCGUCGAUAAUUGUGGCAUUUUGGUGUAAUUAUUUUCAAACUCUUUGUGAGAUACCGACGGACAUCAUUUCAUCGGUAGGGCCGUCGAUUAUUAUGGCAUUUUGGUGUAAUUAUUUUCUAACUCUCUGUGAGAUGUCGGCGGAUGUCGGUCUGUUGGUAUCGUCGUCGGUGAUUGUGGCAUUUUCAUGUAAUUAUUUUCGAACUCUCUGUGAGAUACCGACGGACGGCGGUCCGUUGGUGUUGACGUCGGUGAUUUUUCAUUGUACAAGACAUGUUGUGUUUGUAUUUUCUAUUUACCAUUCUGCAAAAAAUUCAAUGAUAAACUGUCCAUUGUACAAAACAAUAGCAACAAUGCUUAAACAUUAAAUAUAUAUUUCGUGUUACAAAAUAUAUCAUCCAUAGUGUAAAUUACAUGAAGAAAAGGGUCUUACACAAGGCUUCGUUUUGAUAGUUACUCAGAAUUAUCUUCUUCUUCGUCAUCAAUUGAAUAGUCAUCACCUUCAUCGCAAUCUUCAAUAUGGAUAUCAUCUUCUUCAUCGACAUUUGCUUAUCCGCUAGAGCUCAAAACAACGUUUAACUCCUCUACGUCAACAUCAACAAGACUAUCAUCGAAAACACGAAAAUUUGUAUUUUCUUCCAAUUCAAUUGAAGGAGCAACUCGAUAUGGUUCAACCAACUCACUAACUUAAAAGACUUCAUCCGGCACACUUGUGUCUUCGUUCUCGUCCUGAGCAACCUCGACACGACCCCGUGGUUUCGUUUUUAAAACGGACAACCAAUCAACUCUUGAUCGAUCCUUUCUAAAUGAAGGGGUGUAUGUGUAAUAAACUUGUUGACAUUGCUUUGCGAAAACAAAGACAUCGUUUAUGUUGCGGAGUCUAGCUUUUGAGUUGAUUUCGACCAGACCAUGGUGCGGAUCAACUCUGAUUCCUCUGUCCGUCGUGUCAUACCAAUAGCAUUUGAAUAAAAACACUUUAUUCUGCUCGCUAUGAUAUUGCAGUUCGACGACCUCUUCUAAUCUACCAUAGUAGUCAACUUCUAACUCACUUGUGGAUCCCUUAACACAAACACCGCAGUUGUAUGUCUUUCUUCCUUGCCCGUAUUCUUCAGUAUGGAAAACAUAUCCAUUGACAAAAUACCCGUUGUAGCACUUAACUUUUCUUUCAGGCCGAGGCUUAGUGAAGACAAUGACUUCGCUCCUUCCCAUUUGAUAAACCUUGUAAAUAUGUAAUAAAUGUACAUCAAUAACGGUAAAUGAACGAGAAUCUCGUAAUGACAUACGUACAUACAAGUUAGAAUGAGUUUGUGAUAGUGCUUACAUGUGUUCUGAACCAUGUGGCAAAUUGUUCAUCUUGUAAUUGAAAGAUCUGGGAUUCGGUCAGCUGCGAGUUAUUGGAGAGCAAAUAUUGUCGAUGUUGCCUGCAAGUGAUAAUGAGUGUAUGAUAUUACAAUAUAUAAUUAGUAUAUUACUGACAAAGUUUAAUUAGUAUUACACAUAUAUAACUUACUGAAUAAAUGGUCUCAGCUCAUCACAGUUAAAUAGAACAUAGUUGUGUGCUUGUUUGAAUUCUAUUUCCGACAAAUAUCUUCCUCUUACGGCAUUUUUAGGUGUGGGUCGUCCAGUAUUGGAGAAUAUUGACAAGUUCCCACUGGAAGGCACUUCACCGCCAUCGUCAUGCCGUGGAACGCGAUUGAUUCUUGUUCUCAGAUGAGGUUCGAAAUAGUACGAGAUAAAUGUUGAUAUCUCUUCAACAAUAUAGGCCUCAGAUAUCGAAGCCUCAACAUGCGCCUUGUUCUUAACCUUUUUUUGAGAUUAAACAAGUACCUGCAUUGAAUUACAAUUCAAGUAUUUCAAUUAAGAAAAACAUAGAAAAUACUUUAAGAUAUGAAUUCCAUUGCAACUGUAAUAUCACCGUUCGAAUGGGUACAUCCAUCUAUACUGGACCGGUCCUCCAGCUUUUGCCUCGAACGGUAGAUGUAUAGGGAGAUGCUCCAUUGAGUCAAAAAAUGAAGGAGGGAAUAUCAUCUCAAGUUUGCAUAGUGUCUCGAUGAUAUUCGUUUGAAGCCUCAAUGUGCUCAACAUUCAUCUUGCUGGAGCAUAUAUCUCUGAAGAAAUGACUGAUCUCCGUUAGUGCAUCCCAUAUUCCCUUUGGCAACAAAUCACGAAAAGCUAAUGGGAUGAGUGUUUGCAUAAACACGUGGCAGUCAUGACUCUUCAUUCCAUACAAUCUGCAGUCCUCUAUGUUAACAAGCCUUGAUAUGUUCGAUGCAUGUCCAUCCGGAAAACGCAGACUCUUAAGCCAUUUGUAGACUAGCAGUUGUGCGUUUUUCUCUAACACGAAGCUUGCCCUUGGUUUUGCAACCCGUGACUCCUCAUAAACCAACUCCAUAUUUUUACGGUUACAGUAUAAAGCUAUAUCCAAUCUAGCCUUCAUGUUGUCCUUUGUCUUCCCCUUCACAUCCAUGACGGUGUUGAAAAUAUUCUCAAACACGUUCUUUUCGAUGUGCAUGACGUCAAGGUUAUGGCGGAGAAGAUUAGUCUUCCAAUACGGAAGCUCCCAAAAGAUACUUCGCUUUACCCAAUUAUGGGUCAAACCAAAACCAGGAAACUUUUGCUUACCUGAUUGAAGGCCAAACACAAUGUCACCGUACUCUGAUACAACAUGAUGCAAUUCUUCACCAGAAAGACGCGGGGAUGCAACAUCUUUUUCAACUCUACCAACAAAGAAAUCUUUUCUGUUCUUUCUGAACCUGUGAUUAAGUGGCAAGAAGCGACGGUGACAGUCAAAAAAAGAAGCUUUACCUCCGUUUGCUAGCGUGAAUGCCUUGUUGUUUUCCAUGCAGUAUGGACAUGCGAGUUUCCCAUGCGUGCUCCAACCAGAAAGCAUUCCAUAAGCUGGAAAAUCAUGAUAGUCCACAUCAAAGCCGCCCUCAUAAGGAAAUUUUGUUUCCUCGAUAUAUCAUAAGUCAGAGAUCCGGAGGACCACAACUGCGCCAGCUCAUCAUCAACGGUCGAAGACAAACAUCUAUAUUCCGCCCCGGGCUGCUUGGACCGGGUAUGACAGUAGAUAAAACAUGAACUCCGGCCUCAUACACAUUCCCGGUGGCAAGUUAUAAACUGUGAGUAUGACCGGCCAACAAGAAUAGGGAGCAGCAAAUGACCCAAAUGGGUUGAACCCGUCUGUACACAACCCAAGACGACAUUCCUUGAUUCAGCUGAAAAGUCAGGAUGACACUGUUAAAGCGUUUCCACGCUUCGCCGUCAGAAGGAUGCACCAUCACACCAUCAACGCAUCAUGUGUUUGGUGCCAUGUCAUGUGCUCAGCAGUCCUUGGUGACAUAAUAACCUCUGCAGUCUAGGUGUGAUCGGGAAAUAUCUAAGUUUUUUAUACGCCACUAGAGUCUUCCCCUGCCAGUUCUGGGUUUGUAACGGGAAUGCCCGCAUGUCAUGCACUCGGUCAUCUCAAUUUUCAAGGUAGUAUAACAUGCAGAAGUUAGGGCACAUGUCAAUUUUCUGGUAUCCUAAACCGAGGGGUUUCAUCAUGGACUUCGCAGCAUAGAAGUUCUCUUUGAGCCUGUUCCCUUCAGGUAAAAUGCUUCUUGCCCAAUCAAUAAUUUUGUCAUACCCGGCCUCACUCAACCCGUGAUCUGACUUGAUGGUGAACACCUGUGCCACGCCGAUAAUUUACUGUGGUUUGUGCAGCCAUCCCAUAAUGGUUCGUCAGAAUCUUUCAACAAAUCAAAAAACCUAGCUGCCUCUGCAUUAGGUUCUUCUUCUACGAUUGGACAUUGAUUGACAUUACUUGAUUCAUUCUCAUUGCAUCCAUAACCAUGUUUCUGUAAGGAUUAGUGUUGUCAUUUGCCGCUUCAUGCACGUUGCUAGCACUAGAAGUUGACCCAACCACCGUUUCUCCAUUCUCCUAUUACUAACAAAUACCUCUCCAUGUGCAUACCAACACUGUAAUCCUCCACAAAACCCUUUGUGUAGAAGAUGCAUCAUUACAACAUCUGGAUGCAGAUACUUUUUAUUUUGACACUUCCUGCAUGGACACCUAAUACCGCCUCCAGUAAAAUUUAUGGGAAUAGAUGUUGCGAAAGUAAUAAAACCCUGAACCCCAUUACAAUAAUCCAUCAUCCGCAAUCCUUAAGGUGAAUCUAGAUACAUCCAUGACUUCUAUCGAACCUCUAUAAAAUUAUGAUGACAUCAUGUAUUAAUUAACUAAGUUAGGUAAAUAAACUUGCAAAAAUAUUACUUUACCUCGAGAUUAUCCAACAAACCAAUCACAACUUCUCAUAAAUAUUAAAUAUUCAUUAUCAUUUAUCAACGUCCAUACAAAUUAAUAUAUAUACUAAAAAAACACGUACAUCUACUAACAAAAAUACAUAUACUAAAAAAAACAAUAAAUUUGACAUUUAAAUGUUAAAAUUUAAAUAGAUAGAAUUACUUACAAAAAUUGAUAAAAUCCGUCGGUAAAUCAGAACACGGAUGCUGUGACCACAAAACUUCAAGAAAUACAACUUGUUGUGCUGAGAUGAGCAAGAUUGAGCAAGAUUUUUAUUUGGGGGAGAGGGGGGGCUGGUUAUUUGCAGAUGGGGAGAGUUAGGAUUAGGAAGAAAAAGGAGAUAUGGGGGAGGAGAGUGUCGGUAGAGUGGCCAUAUAUAUACUUUUUCCGACAGACUCACCGACAGAAUAACACCAUCGGUGAAUACGUCGGAGACUAUAUCCGUAAUUCUGACGGGAAAUUGCUUUUUAAAUCCCUCAGUAAUUCCGUUGGUUUUUUUUACGGUGCAACGGUCACGUCACCGGCACAGAUCUGACAUUUCAAUUCCGUUGGUAUUUUGAACGGUGAACCGGUCCCGGGUCAACCGAUUUGAAUCCGUUGGCAAUUCUGUCGGAAAAAUCACCCGCCAAACCUCCACGUCAGCUACCCACCCUUUUUUCAUUAAUUUUGGACUUUCCGUCCGUAAUUCGGUCGGUAAUUAUCGACGGAAUAAACAUGUCGGUAAUUACCGACCGAAUUACGAAUGGAAAUAUUUCGUCGCCAAUUUCGCCCGAAAAAUACCGACGGACCAGAAAAAGUCUGUCGGUGAUUCCAUUGGUAUUAAGCGAAUUUCUAGUAGUGAAACCUCCUCCACCACAACAUCUCCCACUACUGCCAUCUUCAGUGCCUCAUGACAACCAUCCACUCAUCACCAACCAAGUUUCAAGCUCCUCCUCCCUAAUCGCAGCCAACAAACCCAGUAAUGCAACCCCUAUUCCCUCCAUUGAUGGCAAUUUCACGACAACUUCAACACCAAAAGCCACCUACCAGCCACAAUGAUGGAAACCCUUAGCAAUAAAAUAGCUUUAACAACCUAUCGAGGACCCAAACCACCACAAUAGCAGCCUUGAUUAUUAUUAUUAUUAUUUUAAAAAGAGAAAGUUGUUACAUUAGAGAGAGAAAGAAGAACAGAACUUUAGGUCGCCCAAUCUCCUUCUGUAAGCGGCAAUGAACAACACCGCCAACACAAAAACAAAGACGAAAAGGAGGCACACCUUAUAGGCGCUUCCUAGACCCGCGCAACACAUGCAACGAUGAGCCAAAACUUUUGUUCUGCACUAGCACGUGGCUUGCACGCG